rnacentral:rRNA from 1 species
CAGCCGCCGCGGUAAUACCGGCGGCCCGAGUGGCGGCCACUAUUAUUGGGCCUAAAGCGUCCGUAGCCGGGCUGGUAAGUCCCCCGGGAAAUCUGGCGGCUUAACCGUCAGAAUUCCGGGGGAUACUGCCAGCCUAGGGACCGGGAGAGGCCGGGGGUAUUCCCGGGGUAGGGGUGAAAUCCUGUAAUCCCGGGAGGACCACCUGUGGCGAAGGCGCCCGGCUGGAACGGGUCCGACGGUGAGGGACGAAGGCCAGGGGAGCGAACCGGAUUAGAUACCCGGGUAGUCCUGGCUGUAAACGAUGCGGACUAGGUGUCGGGCAAGCUAAGGGCUUGUCCGGUGCCGCAGGGAAGCCGUUAAGUCCGCCGCCUGGGGAGUACGGCCGCAAGGCUGAAACUUAAAGGAAUUGGCGGG